GGCGCCUUCAUGGAGUCGAAAAACAUUCCCACCAAGAAAACAUCAUGUUUACUCCUUCUUACAGGACUGGGUGCCAAUAUGUUGAGGAAGAUUCAAAGGGCGACCAAGCCCGAGUUCUGACUGCUCAGCAAAAUAUGACACAUUAAAAUGAUUGAAUUUA